AGAGAGAGAGAGAGAGAGAGAGAGAGAGAGAGAGAGAGAGAGAGAGAGAGAGAGAGAGAGAUUCGUUUUCUGACAGAUUUUUGUUCUGGCCGACAUUUCCACAUCUCUCUCUCCCUUUGUGGAUGUGUGGUGAAAGGCUGCCUUUACUUGUGUUGUGUUUGACAGAAUGUUGAUUCUACGGUAAACAGUAGGCAGCUCUCUCCCUGUGAAGAUACUGUUCCUCAGACUGCCACUCGGGCCUGUCAGAGCUGACACACGCAGUCUCACACCUCACAUGCUCAGAAGAGUUGAAGUGGGUUACUUGAAUACUUGCGUGCACUCACACACACACACACACACACACACAUAUAGACAUUGUGCAUACUCAAAUAUGCAUUUAUGCACUUCACACACAUCCAUUGCCAGUGGAUUAUAUACUUGGAGCACACUCUCAUAUGUUGCACCUACAGAUAAUCCUUGUCCAUACACACCGACUCCCAGCCAGCCCACUGCUGGUCUUUAUUUGGCCGAGGGUUACCGCUCAUUCCCUGACCUCGCCACCGUGGCAACAGCUGGUGCGAACAGAAACCUCUUCCCUAUUUUGCGUGCGCCGGUGGAUCGUGUAACUGCCACUUUAUCACCCCUGGAGGCCACCUGAAGGACGCGGAGUCCGAGCGCACAUUAACAAAGCAAAUGUUUUCCCUCACCCAGCACCUGUGGGGAGGAGAGGUGAGGAGCACCCAGCACCAGUGGAGGUGAAGAGCACCAGUGGGGAGGAGGUGAAGAGCACCAGAGGAGAGGAGGUGAAGAGCAGGAGCACCCAGCACCAGAGGAGAGGAGGUGAAGAGCACCAGAGGAGAGGAGGUGAAGAGCACCAGAGGAGAGGAGGUGAAGAGCACACAGCACCAGUGGGGAGGAGGUGAAGAGCACCAGAGGAGAGGAGGUGAAGAGCACACAGCAGCAGUGGAGAGGAGGUGAAGAGCACCCAGAGGAGGUGAAGAGCACCAGAGGAGAGGAGGUGAAGAGCAGGAGCAGCCAGCACCAGUGGGGAGGAGGUGAAGAGCACCCAGAGGAGGUGAAGAGCAGGGGGCCGAGGACGGCUCCAUCCACAGCACUGGCCUACGAGGCCCCCUCCCUACACUUCUUAAAGCUAGUUUACAUUUGUUAGCUGAUAUUCUUUUGGAAGUGAAGUUCCACUGUUACCUGCCUGCAUUCAUUUCUUUACGACGUGCAGAACCCAUGACGGACACCAUA
ensembl:lncRNA